rnacentral:lncRNA from 1 species
UUUUGGCACGGCACCUCUUCCACUCUGCCACCAUAAACUGACAGAGCUAAGCAUCCCUCUCCUUCAAACAGCAAAAAAUGCAGGAAAGAGGACAAGCUUCCACCAAAAUGUUUGAGCCCAGACUAGAGCAAAAUGAGACCCAAAUAUGAAAGAACCCAUGAUAUGUGCAGUUGGAGGCUGAUUUCACACUUUGAAAAUAGAAAGCUUUUCUUAUAACAACUUUUCUCAGUGGAAGU